rnacentral:sRNA from 1 species
GUCGUGAGAUGUUGGGUUAAGUCCCGCAACGAGCGCAACCCUUAUCCUAUGUUGCCAGCGCGUAAUGGCGGGGACUCAUGGGAGACUGCCGGGGUCAACUCGGAGGAAGGUGGGGACGACGUCAAGUCAUCAUGCCCCUUAUGUCCAGGGCUGCAAACAUGCUACAAUGGCCAGUACAAAGGGCUGCUAUACCGCGAGGUGGAGCGAAUCCCAUAAAGCUGGUCUCAGUUCGGAUUGAAGUCUGCAACUCGACUUCAUGAAGCUGGAGUCGCUAGUAAUCCCGGAUCAGCAACGCCGGGGUGAAUACGUUCCCGGGCCUUGUACACACCGCCCGUCACACCACGAAAGUCGGCAACACCCGAAGUCAGUGGCCCAACCCGCAAGGGAGGGAGCUGCCGAAGGUGGGGUCAGCGAUUGGGGUGAAGUCGUAACAAGGUAGCCGUACCGGAAGGUGCGGCUGGAUCACCUCCUUUCUAAGGAGUUUCCUAUCCCGUCGGAUCACGGCCACAUGCGUCGUGCCGGCUUGGGGAUUCCCAGUUGGCGCACGGGCUAGCUCGUCGGUUCUCAUCUGAACGACCCGGUUGUCAGACAACGCUCCUCGGAGCUGCGUCUCCCGCUUGUCGUUCGUGAGACUCGACCUUCCGUCCUCUGUUCUGUUUUGAGGGAGCGCCUGCGCACCUUCAGUCAACCCCGACCGCCUCGAGCAUCGGUUCCUCUCCCGAGGAGCUUGGCUCGGCGAGUGGGUCUCGCUGGUACCUGACCGGCAUCGCCUCUUGAGAAUUGCAUAGCGAACACGAGCAUCUAAGUAGUGUAAUUCCAAGCUACAAAGAGCCAACGGUGGAUGCCUUGGCGUCUAUUACCGAUGAAGGACGUGGUCGGCUGCGAAAAGCCGCGGUUAGCUGCCUAACGAGCGUUUGACCCGCGGAUGU